rnacentral:lncRNA from 1 species
ACAGAAGAGAAGAAGCAUCGGCAACAGAGCAGAAGCAGAAGCAGAAGGAAGGACGUGACAGGCAAAGGCAGCAGAUGCGAGGUCGCAAGUAAAGCAAGCGAGGACGGAAGGGUGCAGAAGAGACACAAGCAGGGAUACACACGAACAACCCUUCCUUCUUUUCCUUUGCUUUAUGUCCUCGAUCGGCCGACGCUGCAGCCUGACGCUUCGCUUGCCGCUGCCUUCCACCCGUGCCUGCCUGCCUGCACGCGAUCGAGUGCGAGAUCCUCGGAACUCAUCGCACGCUGCUGCUGUGCUUGCGGUUUCGGCGGAGUUGGUCAAGUAGGGGAGUACGAGCGCUGCCACAGCGUACGUACGCUUCUGCCGGAUUUGUGUUUUCUGCCGGCCGGCCGGCCGGCCAGCCUGGGCGGUGGGCUCGAGCUCGGCGAUACAAAUCCACCAACUAGGACCUUGGCGAUGGUAGGGACAUCGAGCGGGAACGGGCUUAGCAACGGAGACGACAACUACGGCAGCUCUAUAUUCUCUCUCAAAUCCCCUCUGGCGUGGACCCAGCCGCUGCCUCCCCUCCGCACAGGAUCAUCUACCAUGCGGCGCUGCGACGGGAUCGAUCUGCCCCUAGGUGACCCUACGACGGACGGAUCCACCGCCACCAUCAGGGUGUGGAGGGGCAGUGCUAGAGGUGGUGGAGGCGCGAGAAGAGGCAACGACAGCCUCGAUGAUGAUGAGCUAUUGGGACUCGGUGAUGGAGCCACCGCUGAUGAGCGGCGAUAA